GGCCUCCUCCUCCCCCAAUCGCACCUCGUCCCGCUGCCGCUGCCGACGGAAGGUCGUCGACCCAGACCGCGCCUCAUCCUUGUCGUGUUUUCCGUGGUGGUCUUCUCCAUCGAGACAGCAAGCGAGGAGGUCGAGGAGGAAGCCCUCCAUGGUGCCGCCGGUGCCCUCCAUGGGCAGCCGGUGCUGGAGACGACGGCGAGGUUUGGCAGCAGUAGGGCACUUCGUUCCUCCCCCGAGCUGCUCGGCAUGGAGUCCGCGGUCGAGCCCCUCUCCUUCAUCAUCUUCUUCGCGUGCGGCAGCCGGCGGAGCUCCACCUCCUUCCUGCCGGCUCCACCUGAUGAUUUCGGCCAGCGAAGAAGCCAUAGAGCUCCUUUGUGGUGGAUUCGGUUGAGAUCAUUGUCUUCCUGUAGAUUACCGGCUUGGGUGGAGUUCAAGAGAGUGGUACUGCUAUAGCACCAAUGCUACAAGUUGGGAUGACAUUUCUCUGAAAUCAUGAUGGCAACACUCGGUUCAGCUAUUCACAAAGCCGCACACGUUGAAGAGUUACCUUGUUCAGGUCCCGCUUGCUGGCAUCUCCGGCUACCGACGGAGCUAUUGAGGCCUUAUCAAAACCUAUUAAUAUUUUCUCAAGAGGAACUUGCAGAACUCCGCUCUCUCUUCGUCAGUAGCUUGCAACAUCAAUAAUCUGAAUUUUCAGCCAUACUGUUUUAUCUCAUGAUGAUGCAUGUUUCAGAUUCAGGAAAACAGGUUGAGUUUUAAUUUUUUGAGAGAAAGAUCAAAAUGUUAGCGUGUAUAUCAGGUGAGGCAAGUUUAUUAGGCAAUAUGUGCAUUGCACCGAGCUUUUGACAGAGAGAUCAAAACUUUAGUGCGUAUACCAGGUGAAGUUUAUUAUGCCAUAAGUACAUUGCACAUAGCACAACUGUCCUCUUCCUUCACAGAUUGGGUAUCAUGUACAUUAUGUCCCAUUCAUUUAACUGGAUUAUUGCAAUGAUUUGAGUGGCUCAAAGUCCCUAGAUAUUAAAGGAAUUACUGUGUGCAGCCAUCUGCCUCCUCUACUACAGCAACAUGUCAAAUGUCUUCGCGGCAACCCGUUCGAAAAGGCUGCUCCAGCCUCUUCCUUUUCCCUGGUUGCUAUUUCUUCAUGGCUUGGGAUUGAAGGGACGAGAGAUGUCAGAGUUGGAGCAGAUGUUUGAGCAGCGGUGCAGCUUCUCUCCAUCUUUAGAAGGUCGAUGCGGAUCGGUAGUGAGAUCCAGGCUGCUCGAUUUUCUUCACGGACAUGGACAAGCUUCCUCUGGUAAUAUCAGUUGGAGAAUAGGAGAUAGGAGGCAGGUCUAUGGGUGAAUUCCGAAGAACAUGUAUCUGUUAAGAGUUGCAUGAAUAUGGCCUGGGGGACAGGUUCAUUUUCAUGUGAAGAAUCUUCCGUAUUCCAUCGCCAUCUCUAGGAGGAGUUCCAGGCGGGUUGUCCUCCUGUUGAUAAGGUUGUGUGUGUGCUCGAUCCGAGGUCUCUCUCUCUCUCUCUUUCUCUCUCUCUCUCUCUCUCUCUCUCUCUCUCUCUCUCUCUCUCUCUCACACACACACACACACACACACACACAUAGUUCUGAUCCAUAUUUUCUGCUCCUCUAUACAUUGUACAAACAAUUGAUAUAGCAUCAAAUUUAUGUGAUUACUAGGUUUGUUUGUUAAUUCUGGAGCUUUUGUAAUUCUCAAAAAAAUAUUGUGUUAAUUCUUACCUGAUGGCUUUAAUAAGAAAAGAGGUAAAAUUUAACAGCUAUCGACCUAUCAUUGCCGAUCGCUUUUGCCACUUUGCUGUCACAACUCAUCAUGUAGACCUGCACUAAAAAGGCAUGUACUCAAAGCCUUGUGAGAAAACAGUCAACAGAAGUUAUGCACUCUGGCCAAUCUUUCAGGGUGGAUCCUUUUUUACAUCCUAUACUUUUUUAUUAUUUUCUUCCUAUUUAUUGAUGUUUGCUAUUGUGUUUUUUAAAUAUGCAAGAUUAACAUUUUGUUUUCAUCAUCUACCAAGGAAAAGAGCAUCUUAACAACUAAGUACCUCGGAAUAACAUCAGUGACGUCACCCAUUUUAGGCAAUGACAUGUAACCCAUGCUUUAUGUAAUUAUGUUGGAUAUUUCCUCAGUUUCUUUGACCAUGUAUAAAACCUGUGUUCUGAGUGCUGUUGUUUAAUUCUUGCACGUGUGGUUACUCUACC